rnacentral:rRNA from 1 species
ACUGACACUGAGGUGCGAAAGCGUGGGUAGCAAAAGGAAAAGAUACCCUGGUAGUCCACGCCGUAAACGAUGACGACCACCCGUUGGGUGCCUAGCGCACUUUGUGGCGAAGUUAACGCGAUAAGUCGACCGCCUGGGGAGUACGGCCGCAAGGUUAAAACUCAAAUGAAUUGACGGGGGCCCGCACAGGCGGUGGAGCAUGUGGUUUAAUUCGAUGCAACGCGAAGAACCUUACCUACUCUUGACAUCCUGCGAAUUUGGUAAAGAUACCUUAGUGCCUUCGGGAACGCAGAGACAGGUGCUGCAUGGCUGUCGUCAGCUCGUGUUGUGAAAUGUUGGGUUAAGUCCCGUAACGAGCGCAACCCUUGUCCUUAUUUGCCAGCGCGUAAUGGCGGGAACUCUAAGGAGACUGCCGGUGACAAACCGGAGGAAGGUGGGGACGACGUCAAGUCAUCAUGGCCCUUACGAGUAGGGCUACACACGUGCUACAAUGGUCGGUACAAAGGGUCGCCAACUCGCGAGAGUGAGCCAAUCCCGAAAAGCCGAUCUCAGUCCGGAUCGGAGUCUGCAACUCGACUCCGUGAAGUCGGAAUCGCUAGUAAUCGUGGAUCAGAAUGCCACGGUGAAUACGUUCCCGGGGCCUUGUACACACCGCCCGUCACACCAUGGGAGUGGACUGCACCAGAAGUGGUUAGCCUAAACGCAAGAGGGCGAUCACCACGGUGUGGUUCAUGACUGGGGUGAAGUCGUAACAAGGUAACCAAUCCCGCG